AAGUCGUAACAAGGUUUCCGUAGGUGAACCUGCGGAAGGAUCAUUAAUGUUACGGGCCGCGGUUUAACAUCCGUGGAACCGGUUAACCCCAUGUUGUCUAUCACCUUGUUUCUUUGGCGGGUUCAUCCGUCAGAAGACAUCUCAAACCCUUGAAUCUGUCGUCUGAAUGAAAUAUCAAAUAAAGCAAAACUUUCAACAACGGAUCUCUUGGUUCUG
rnacentral:misc_RNA from 1 species